GUUGCUAGGCGGAAUUGGGAGUAUCUGGAACUCAAAUUACUUGUUUGGCAGAUGGCGGAAUUGGAAAUAUCUGGAACUCAAAAUAUCGGUGCCAAAGUGGGAAUACUUGUAAUGUGUUUGUCAUUGAGAAAUGGUUCAAGUCUGACUUAUUUUCUAGAAUGAUAUGUACUUUUGGACCUGGUUUGUCGUUCUUUUUCAAUUAUAGACUAUUCAUAUGAUUUGUGAUUGUACCAAAAAAUAAGUAGAAGUAGUUUCAUAUUUUCCAGAUAAUAUAAUAUUUUAUAAUAAAAUAAUAAUACGUACAUAUCUAUUAUUUUUUAGAAAAUGUAAUAUGUCUUCAAUAUAAUGGCAUUAAGUUUAUAGGUUAUGUUAUGCAUAAUAAUAAUUAAGGUGUGUAACGUACAUUUGCAUUUUGCAACAGAAACAGCUUCUUAUAGAGUAUUGUUUUACAGGCUAAUCUUUUUUCAUGUAAUGUAUUCAAAUGUAAUUAUAAUUAGAAUUGGGAUAAUACAAAAAUAUACUUUUUGCUUAGUGAUAUCUAUUACAUUGUGUCAGAAUUUGGUUUCUCAAUAAUUCUCAUCCUGAGUGCCAAACUGAUCAACUGCAUCCUAAUGAAACGUUCAAGAUGUGAUUCAGUAACUGAUACGGUUGUUGCAAUAAUUAUUUUUGACUAAAUGAUUACGAAUAAGCGCAGCUAUAUCUGGAGAGGUAAUGCACCUACUGAUAUCCCGUGAUAAGAACUUGGGAGAGAUUUAGUGAAACCUGGAGA